CGCGAGGCGGAGCGAAUCCCCAAAAGGCGUCUCAGUUCGGAUUGCAGGCUGCAACUCGCCUGUAUGAAGUCGGAAUUGCUAGUAAUCGUGGAUCAGCAUGCCACGGUGAAUACGUUCCCGGGCCUUGUACACACCGCCCGUCACACCAUGAGAGCCGGGAACACCCGAAGUCCGUAGUCUAACCUAUAUGGAGGACGCGGCCGAAGGUGGGUUCGAUAAUUGGGGUGAAGUCGUAACAAGGUAUC
rnacentral:rRNA from 1 species